UCUUUUAAAGGGUAAAACUGCUUUGAGGCAGUGACACAAAGCUAAGGAUCUCAACUUGAGAUAGCCGGCUGCUAAA
rnacentral:ncRNA from 1 species